ACGGAGGGUGCAAGCGUUACUCGGAAUCACUGGGCGUAAAGGGCGCGUAGGCGGAGUAGUAAGUUGGAUGUGAAAUCUAAUGGCUUAACCAUUAAACUGCAUUCAAAACUGCUAUUCUAGAGUAAGGGAGAGGCAGAUGGAAUUAGUAGUGUAGGGGUAAAAUCCGUAGAUAUUACUAAGAAUGCCAAUUGCGAAAGCGAUCUGCUAGAACUUAACUGACGCUAAUGCGCGAAAGCGUGGGGAGCAAACAGG
rnacentral:rRNA from 1 species